rnacentral:rRNA from 1 species
UAAAGAUUCAUCGCUGAUAGAUAGGCAUGCGUUCCAUUAGGCAGUUGGCGGGGUAACGGCCCACCAAACCGACGAUGGAUAGGGGUUCUGAGAGGAAGGUCCCCCACAUUGGUACUGAGACACGGACCAAACUCCUACGGGAGGCAGCAGUGAGGAAUAUUGGUCAAUGGGCGUAAGCCUGAACCAGCCAAGUCGCGUGAGGGAUGAAGGUUCUAUGGAUCGUAAACCUCUUUUAUAAGGGAAUAAAGUGUGGGACGUGUCCUGUUUUGUAUGUACCUUAUGAAUAAGGAUCGGCUAACUCCGUGCCAGCAGCCGCGGUAAUACGGAGGAUCCGAGCGUUAUCCGGAUUUAUUGGGUUUAAAGGGUGCGUAGGCGGCCUUUUAAGUCAGCGGUGAAAGUCUGUGGCUCAACCAUAGAAUUGCCGUUGAAACUGGGAGGCUUGAGUAUGUUUGAGGCAGGCGGAAUGCGUGGUGUAGCGGUGAAAUGCUUAGAUAUCACGCAGAACCCCGAUUGCGAAGGCAGCCUGCCAAGCCAUGACUGACGCUGAUGCACGAAAGCGUGGGGAUCAAACAGGAUUAGAUACCCUGGUAGUCCACGCAGUAAACGAUGA